AUUGAACGCUGGCGGCAUGCUUUACACAUGCAAGUCGAACGGUAACAGGCCGCAAGGUGCUGACGAGUGGCGAACGGGUGAGUAAUGCAUCGGAACGUGCCCAGUCGUGGGGGAUAACUACUCGAAAGAGUAGCUAAUACCGCAUACGAUCUAUGGAUGAAAGCGGGGGACCGUAAGGCCUCGCGCGAUUGGAGCGGCCGAUGUCAGAUUAGGUAGUUGGUGGGGUAAAGGCUCACCAAGCCAACGAUCUGUAGCUGGUCUGAGAGGACGACCAGCCACACUGGGACUGAGACACCGCCCAGACUCCUACGGGAGGCAGCAGUGGGGAAUUUUGGACAAUGGGCGCAAGCCUGAUCCAGCAAUGCCGCGUGCAGGAAGAAGGCCUUCGGGUUGUAAACUGCUUUUGUACGGAACGAAACGGCUCUGGUUAAUACCCGGGGCUAAUGACGGUACCGUAAGAAUAGGCACCGGCUAACUACGUG
rnacentral:rRNA from 1 species